ACAAUUUACAAAUGAAAUAAAAUAAAAAUAAGAUCAAUGUGCCAUGCGCACAAACAUGUGGGGACUGGUAUUGAAAAUAUCCCGCGCCCAUAAUGCUGCAUUGAACCGCGGAUCAAGGUGAAAAAAUGCACAAAUUCUAGAGCUAAAUUUUAAAAAACAAAGUAGGAAAUCUGGAUGCAUUUGAGGGCUUUGCACAGAAAGAAGGACCCACUUCGGAAUUUGACCAUUUAAAAGGACAAGGCGCGGAUCCGGGUAUUCCAACAGGCUAGCGCGCGGAUCCUUAAAGCAUGGAACGGCGCCGUUUUUUGCACAAUGAAUUUAAAACCCUUUUUUCAUCCUUUUGUCCCAAAUACUGCCAACCUUCCAAACAAAGAACCACAGCCCCAAAAUUAAAAAUGCUAGGGUUCUUAACAUCUGACGGAUUCACCAUUUUGUUUGGCAAUCGAUAGUAUACCACCAUGAAUAGAUCCAUGCCACGUCCAUGAAAAUGUGAGGAGGCGUGUGGAGGAGGCCGCGCAAGGAGCCACUCGUGGGAGUCCCAAUUCUCUGGCCUAUUCUGGCACGUUCCAGAAGCUUCUAGUGCUGCUGAGAUAAUUUUGGGUGUAUUGGGCCUCGAGUUUUAGGGCUUGUCGGGUCAUGGGUUAUUUUGGUAAUUGGGUUGGGUGUUUAUUUUAUGUAAUUGGAGUAAUGGACCUUUAUUAUUUUUGAGGUUUUUUUUUAUUUUUGUUUUAUUUUUGGUUUUUAAUUUCUAUUUUUUAUUCCAAUGGGCCCGGGCGAAAUGGGCUAUUACAAUGGCAUUGUGGAAAUAUGAGUCCAGGUGGAGAUUUGUUAAAUAUGACUCCUAUUUUCAGUAAAAUUUGAAAAAUAAUCUUUCAGUUAAA